AGCAGGGACAUCGUCACCUAGAUCAGGUUUUUCAGACCCCGGUUCAACCUGACCUUGAAUGUUUCCUGGGAGGUGGCUUGUUGAGCAUUGCAGGACUCUUUGUUUGUGGUGAGGUUUACAAGCACAUCGGGGCUGAUAUUUCCUCCAGCAUGUGCCCAAAGUUUACACCUAUCCUAAACCACUGCUAAGCACCACCUCUGAGCAGUCAACCUGACAAAUACACUGCAGAAAGUUCAGUGCUAGUGGUGUCACACUUCACUGCCAAUCAGAUGGGAGUGUUAAAGGCAUCUUACAACAUUGGCAGUGCCCAAAUGACCAUGAGACUCUUAGGAGGCAGCUACCAAAAGCUGAAUGACAGUGACGCUGGAACAACUCAUCACCAGUGAUGUGCUGCAUCAUGCUCACCAGUGUAAACAAGGAUGGAGUUACAAAGGGAAUUACAGGAGAAAUAAAUGUUCUGGAAGUGGUAUAA